GGAAUUCGUGGUGUAGCGGUGAAAUGCUUAGAUAUCACGAAGAACUCCGAUUGCGAAGGCAGCUUACUAACCUGUAACUGACAUUGAUGCUCGAAAGUGUGGGUAUCAAACAGGAUUAGAUACCCUGGUAGUCCACACGGUAAACGAUGAAUACUCGCUGUAGGCGAUAUACAGUCUGCGGCCAAGCGAAAGCAUUAAGUAUUCCACCUGGGGAGUACGCCGGCAACGGUGAAACUCAAAGGAAUUGACGGGGGCCCGCACAAGCGGAGGAACAUGUGGUUUAAUUCGAUGAUACGCGAGGAACCUUACCCGGGCUUAAAUUGCAGAUGAAUUACGGUGAAAGCCGUAAGCCGCAAGGCAUCUGUGAAGGUGCUGCAUGGUUGUCGUCAGCUCGUGCCGUGAGGUGUCGGCUUAAGUGCCAUAACGAGCGCAACCCUUGCCGAUAGUUACUAACAGGUCAUGCUGAGGACUCUGUCGGGACUGCCAUCGUAAGAUGUGAGGAAGGUGGGGAUGACGUCAAAUCAGCACGGCCCUUACGUCCGGGGCUACACACGUGUUACAAUGGGGGGUACAGAGGGCCGCUACCACGCGAGUGGAUGCCAAUCCCCAAAACCUCUCUCAGUUCGGACUGGAGUCUGCAACCCGACUCCACGAAGCUGGAUUCGCUAGUAAUCGCGCAUCAGCCACGGCGCGGUGAAUACGUUCCCGGGCCUUGUACACACCGCCCGUCAAGCCAUGGGAGCCGGGGGUACCUGAAGUGCGUAACCGCAAGGAGCGCCCUAGGGUAAAACUGGUGACUGGGGCUAAGUCGUAACAAGGUAGCCGUACCGGAAGGUGCGGCUG
rnacentral:rRNA from 1 species